UUUUCAGAGACAAGUGUGGUCGCCAAUCCCGGAUGAGCCCCCAAAUGAAAGAUCCUCAGAGCAGGGAGACCCUCACUCAAGUCUUGGGAUGAUGCGAUCCCCCAAGAACUCACAUAACACC
rnacentral:pre_miRNA from 14 species